GUUUUACCUUGACGAAUUGUAGUUUAAAGAAGUGUUUUCUGUUGAAGUUUUGGUAAAAGUUCUUUGGAAUAGGACAUCAUAGAGGGUGAGAAUCCCGUAUUUGACCAUUAUUUUCAGCUGUGUGAUACACUUUCAAAGAGUCGGAUUGUUUGGGAAUGCAGUCCAAAAUGGGUGGUAAAUUUCAUCUAAAGCUAAAUAUUGGCUAGAGACCGAUAGCGAACAAGUACCGUGAGGGAAAGAUGAAAAGAACUUUGAAAAGAGAGUUAAACAGUACGUGAAAUUGUCAAAAGGGAAGCGUUUGACACCAGUGUUGUUUUCUCGAAAAUCAAUUAAAAAAAGUUGGAUUUUGUGUUGUAUUGACCUUAACAGCUUUCUGCACUCUUCUCCUGCUUUUUUU
rnacentral:rRNA from 1 species